AGGGUUUGAUCCUGGCUCAGAACGUACGCUGGCGGCACGCCUAACACAUGCAAGUCGAACGAAGUAGCAAUACUUAGUGGCAGACGGGUGAGUAACAUGUGGGUAUCUGCCCUUUGGCCUGGAAUAACACGAGGAAACUUGUGCUAAUACCGGAUAAGUCUUUACGGAGAAAGCUUUAUGCACCAUUGGAUGAGCCCGCACUUGAUUAGUUUGUUGGUGGGGUAAUGGCCUACCAAGACUGUGAUCAAUAGCUGAUUUGAGAGGAUGAUCAGCCACAUUGGGACUGAGACACGGCCCAAACUCCUACGGGAGGCAGCAGUGGGGAAUCUUGCACAAUGGAGGAAACUCUGAUGCAGCGAUGCCGCGUGAGUGAAGAAGGCCCUUGGGUUGUAAAGCUCUUUCGUCGGGGAAGAAAAUGACUGUACCCGAAUAAGAAGGUCCGGCUAACUUCGUGCCAGCAGCCGCGGUAAUACGAAGGGACCUAGCGUAGUUCGGAAUUACUGGGCUUAAAGAGUUCGUAGGUGGUUGAAAAAGUUAGUGGUGAAAUCCCAGAGCUUAACUCUGGAACUGCCAUUAAAACUUUUCAGCUAGAGUAUGAUAGAGGAAAGCAGAAUUUCUAGUGUAGAGGUGAAAUUCGUAGAUAUUAGAAAGAAUACCAAUUGCGAAGGCAGCUUUCUGGAUCAUUACUGACACUGAGGAACGAAAGCAUGGGUAGCGAAGAGGAUUAGAUACCCUCGUAGUCCAUGCCGUAAACGAUGUGUGUUAGACGUUGGAAAUUUAUUUUCAGUGUCGCAGCGAAAGCGAUAAACACACCGCCUGGGGAGUACGACCGCAAGGUUAAAACUCAAAUGAAUUGACGGGGACCCGCACAAGUAGUGGAGCAUGUGGUUUAAUUCGAAGAUACGCGCAGAACCUUACCAACACUUGACAUGUUCGUCGCGACUCUAAGAGAUUAGAGUUUUCGGUUCGGCCGGACGAAACACAGGUGCUGCAUGGCUGUCGUCAGCUCGUGUCGUGAGAUGUUGGGUUAAGUCCCGCAACGAGCGCAACCCUCACUUUUAGUUGCCAUCAUUAAGUUGGGCACUCUGAAAGAACUGCCAGUGAUAAGCUGGAGGAAGGUGGGGAUGACGUCAAGUCCUCAUGGCCCUUACGUGUUGGGCUACACACGUGCUACAAUGGUAUCUACAACAGGAAGCAAGACUGCGAGGUCAAGCAAAUCCUUAAAAGAUACCUCAGUUCGGAUUGCACUCUGCAACUCGAGUGCAUGAAGCUGGAAUUACUAGUAAUCGUGGAUCAGCGUGCCACGGUGAAUGCGUUCCCGGGUCUUGUACACACCGCCCGUCACACCAUGGGAGUUGGUUCUACCUUAAGGCAAGGUUUCAAACCCUUGACCACGGUAUAGUCAGCGACUGGGGUGAAGUCAUAACAAGGUAGCCGUA
rnacentral:rRNA from 1 species